ensembl:snRNA U6 U6 spliceosomal RNA
GUGCUCGCUUCAGCAGCUCAUCUACUAAAACUGGAACAAUACAGAGAAGAUUAGCAUGGCCCGUGCCCAAGGAUGACAUGCAAAUUUGUGAAGCGUUCCAUAGUUUU